rnacentral:lncRNA from 10 species
GCCCACUCAUGUGAUACAGGAUAAUCUCUGCAUCACAGAAUCCUUAACCACACAUGCAAAAUCUAUGUUACCAAAUAGAGUAACAUUCACAGGUUCCAAGCAGCAGGAUACAGCAUUUUUGGGUCACCAGUUUUCUGCCUACCACAUGUUCGGAGGUACUGACUUUUCAAUGAUGUGUCUUAAGAUGGAUCUAUUGCUAUUCAUAGGACUGGGAACAUGGUCACAUGGAGAAAACUGAGGACCAGCGAAGUGGCCUGCAGAAGUAACAAACUCCUUAACAAGUGCUAUGGCACCAGCUCAUCAGAAUGGACACUGGCUUUAAUGGUAUUAACUGAGUCCUAAAGGCCCUCUUCUCCUUAUUUCCUGAAUAUUGGGAAGAUCCAAAGGUUUCUGCAACAAAGGGGACAACCAAGUAAAUGGUGGAGGAGGAUCUUUUAGGGGCUCGUGGCUGAAGCCACUUUGUCUACCAGAAUGGCACCAUUUCAAUAUUUUGUCAAUGAAUAUAGCUACACCUAUGCUUAUUAAACAAGUCUGGUGACAUAAUUGUCCCAAGUUCAUACAGUCAGUAGAAUUUGCCAUCAAACAACUUUAAAACAACUUUUCAGGAAUAUAACUACUAUGCCACAUGAAAUACCCACCUUCUGGGAUAUUGAAGCAAAAGCUUUUCAACUGCUAAAUAGGCACAUGAUCUUUAUACCAUUGGUAUAAUGUCACGUACAUUUGUGUGCAGAUUACCACAUCCCUGAAAACUGCUCCCUCAGAUGUUGUGUAUGGGGUAAUUGAUGCUUUAGGCCUAAAAAUCUAAAUAAGCUGACACUUUUAUUUUCAGAAGUGCCUGCAAGGGGUGCAAUUCAAAAAAAUUACAUUUCAACCUGGCUGAUUGGCUAAUAAAAUGAAAGUAGUUUGUAACAAAUAAACAAGUAAAGGAUAUGGCAUGCUUUGCACUGCUUUUAACAUAAAUGAGUAAAAUCACAUCAUUUCUUUCAAUAAAAACAUCUUGUGCCUAAAAUAAAAUGCCUGAUGUUGAUACUGAAAUGGUAUGCUUUCAUCUAAAAUAUUUUUGAUAGCUCGUUGUUGCCAACACUUAAAACAAAAAGUUGCUAACUUCUUUAAAGUGGCCAACUACAGUAGUGCAAAACCAAUAGUUGAUAUGAUAUUAUUUUUAGCCUUCAUCUUCAGCUUUAAGUAAUGUUCAGUAAAUGCAACAUUACUUCCUUAUUGAUAUUUAUCCAUGACUCCACACAGAAAACAAUAAACAAAUAAACCUUAUUCAUAAGGCUGUCUAUAUACCAGUGGUCAUUUUAUAGUCAGAAUUUUUUUGCAUUUAAAAAGGCAGCUAUUAUGUUGGUGAGGAUGCAGAGAAAAGGGAAUGCUUAUACACUGCUGGUGGCAAUGCAAAUUAGUUCAACUUCUGUGGAAAACAGUAGAAAAUUUCUCAAAGAAUUAAAAAUAGAACUAACUACCAUUUGACCCAGCAAUACCACCAUUGGCUAUUUACCCAAAGGAAAAGAAAUUGUUUUAUCAAAAAGACACCUAGCACUCAAUAUGUUUAUCAUAGCACUAGUCACAUUAGCAAAGGCACAGAAUCAACCUAAGGGUCCAUCAACAGUGGGCUGGAUUAAACAAAAAGUGGUACAUAUACACUGUGAAAUAAUAUGCAGCCAUAGAAAAAAACAAAAUCAUGCCUUUUGCAGUAACAUGGAUGGAGCUACAGAUCAUUAUCCUAAGUGAAAUAACUCAGAAACAGGCAAUCAAAUAUUACAUGCUCUUACUUAUAAGUGGAAGUUAAGCAAUGUGUACACAUGGACAUAAAGAUGUAAAUAAUAGACACUGGGGACUCCAAAAGUGAAGAGGAUGGGAGAGAGGCAAGGGUUGAAAAACUACCUUUUCGGUACUAUGUUCCUAUUUGGGUGACGGGUUCAUUAGAAGCACAAACCUCAGCAUUAUACAAUAUACUUAUGGAACGAACCUGCACAUGUACUUCCUGAAU